rnacentral:misc_RNA from 1 species
AAAUGCGAUAAGUAAUGUGAAUUGCAGAAUUCAGUGAAUCAUCGAAUCUUUGAACGCACCUUGCGCUCCUUGGUAUUCCUUGGAGCAUGCCUGUUUGAGUAUCAUGAAAUCUUCAAAGUAAAUCUUUUGUUAACUCAAUUGGUUUCUACUUUGGUAUUGGAGGUCUUUGCAGCUUCACACCUGCUCCUCUUUGUUCAUUAGCUGGAUCUCAGUGUUAUGCUUGGUUCCACUCGGCGUGAUAAGUUAUCUAUCGCUGAGGACACUGUAAAAGGUGGCCAAGGUAAAUGCAGAUGAACCGCUUCUAAUAGUCCAUUGACUUGGACAAUACUUUUAUGAUCUGAUCUCAAGUCAGGUAGGACUACCCGCUGAACUUAAGC